GUUGCCCAGAUUACCUUUUAGGAGAUCAAUUAACUAGCCAAGUAAAAGCUCUUCAAAGCAUCAUGCGCUUGGUACGCUACUAUGAGACUUCAAAGAAAGAAAAAACACAUUCAGUGCAUGCGAAGGAUGUUUGAGGAAAGAAGGCCUUCAGUCUAAGAGAGGAGCAUCAAGGCAGUGAAACAAACAUGUGAGAAAGGAAGAAGCGACUUGAGCGGUAGGGAGUGUGGAAUGAGAAGUCUAGAACUACAGACAGAGCCUAAAACAAACAUCAUGUACAGGGGCGGACCCAGAUUUUUUUUUAACCCAGGUCAUAAUAAGAAAGAAAGGUAAAAAAUUUAACAAAAGAUGUCCAACUGGGAAUCGAACUAGUGUUUGGAGGGGUCAUUUAAUGACAGAUUUGCCAACUCAGCUGCAGUUUCUUUAUGGAAUCCUUUACAGAAAAAUAUUUAUAUGAUUAUUUUACCAGGUCA